UACGUAGGAUGCGAGCGUUGUCCGGAUUUAUUGGGCGUAAAGAGAACGUAGGUGGUUUCUUAAGUUUGGUCUUAAAGACCGGGGCUCAACCCCGGGAAUGGAUCGAAUACUGGGAGACUAGAGGAUGUUAGAGGAAAGUGGAAUUCCAAGUGUAGCGGUGAAAUGCGUAGAUAUUUGGAGGAACACCAGUGGCGAAGGCGGCUCACUGGACCGGUUCUGACGCUGAAGCGCGAAAGCGUGGGGAGCGAACAGG
rnacentral:rRNA from 1 species